rnacentral:lncRNA from 1 species
UAGGACUAAUGAUUACAAGGUGGUGAUCAAGUUUAUCUAAUAAAAUAUUUUUAGUCGCUUCGAUAGUCCUAGAGCCAUCAUUAGUGAUGGAGGUGCGUACUUCACGAAUAAGCACUUCGAGAGCUUAAUGAGAAAAUAUGAAAUCACACACAGUUACUACUUCAUAUCACCCUCAAAUCAGUGGCCAAGUAGAAGGUUCCAACAAG